GUGAGGAAUAUUGCGCAAUGGAGGCAACUCUGACGCAGCCAUGCCGCGUGCAGGAAGAAGGCGCUACGCGUUGUAAACUGCUUUUAACCGGGAAGAAACCCCAGGACGUGUCCUGGGUUGACGGUACCGGAGGAAUAAGCACCGGCUAACUUCGUGCCAGCAGCCGCGGUAAUACGAAGGGUGCAAGCGUUAUCCGGAUUCAUUGGGUUUAAAGGGUGCGUAGGCGGAGCGUUAAGUCAGUGGUGAAAUCCUGCAGCUUAACUGUAGACGUGCCAUUGAUACUGGCGCUCUUGAGUGCGCUUGAAGUGGGCGGAAUGUGCCGUGUAGCGGUGAAAUGCUUAGAUAUGGCACAGAACACCAAUUGCGAAGGCAGCUCACUAAGGCGAUACUGACGCUGAGGCACGAAAGCGUGGGGAUCGAACAGGAUUAGAUACCCCGGUAGUCC
rnacentral:rRNA from 1 species